ACGAACGCUGGCGGCGUGCUUAACACAUGCAAGUCGAACGGUGAAGCGCCUUCCUUUUUGGUGGGUGUGGAUGAGUGGCGAACGGGUGAGUAACACGUGAGUAACCUGCCCCCUUCUUCUGGAUAACCGCAUGAAAGUGUGGCUAAUACGGGAUAUUCUGGGUCUGUCGCAUGAUGGGUCUGGGAAAGAUAUUGUUUCGGUGGGGGAUGGGCUCGCGGCCUAUCAGCUUGUUGGUGGGGUGAUGGCCUACCAAGGCGGUGACGGGUAGCCGGCCUGAGAGGAAGACGGACACACGGGGGCAAGAAACCCGGCCGGAGCACGAAGGGGGGGGGGGGGGGGAAAGUAUAGAGGAAGGGGGGCGAGCGUGUGGCCGCAGCGCGGGGGGAGGGAGGGGGGCGUUGGGUUUUAAACCCUCUUCCGCGGGAGAACAGGGCCUGCCUGUUUUGUGGGUGGUUUGACGGUAGUUGAAUGAAAGACCCCGACAAACUACAAA
rnacentral:rRNA from 1 species